ensembl:lncRNA
UAGUUGAAAUGUUCUGUAUCUUGAUUAGAGUGGUGACUCCACAAGUAUAUAAAUUUAUCAAAACCCACUGAAUUGUACACUUAAGACCUACACAUUUCACUGUUUAAUUUUACCUUAAAAAUAAAAAAGUCCAUCUUUCUGAUUACUACAAACGGUUGAGAGCCCCUUCCACACACCUACCAGUUGGCCUUGAAAUUGUGUAUGCUAUAACACGGUAGCUCUACCACUACCACUGCUGCCCCUCUUCUUUUCCUUGAUGAUUUCUUACUUUUUUUUCUUUCUUUUUUUAUUAUUGUCAAAAAUUCUCUAGAACCAGCUUAUUUUUAAAAUCUUUUUAAUCAUAUUACAUUUUAACUUUAUCUUCUUUUAUUAAUAUUGAAUCAGUGCAUAUAAAGGUUUUUUAAAGCACAAAGAAGAUAAAACCACACGCAUCUCCACUAUUGUACUUUAGUGACAACUCUGGAUAUAUUCAGUAGGUACUGACUUAGUGACAGGACUUGUUCUAGGCACCAGGGAUACUGUGGUAAGCAAGACAGUGCCCGACUUCAUAGAGUUUACAUGCAAAUAAAUGAUAUGCACAGAGGGAUUUUUUUUCAAAUUAGAUAGGACUGCACUUACUCUUUUAUGAUCUGCUUUUCCCACUCUGCAAUAUAUCACUAAUAACCUCUCAUGCGAAUAAAAAUUGUGUGAUGUCAUUUUGAUAGCUGCGCACUUCACUGUACGGCUAUAUUAGAAAUUAUUUAAUAAAUUCCCUGGUUCAAACAACUAGCACUUUCAAAGUUAUAACCUACAUUUCUAUAAACAUCUCAAAAGUCUUUUGAAUAUACAUUUCAUGAUCUUUCUGCUGGCAAAAUAAUUUCAAGAAUCAUUGUUUUUUAUUCUGUUUUGUUUGUCUUUUCUAGGGCCGCACCCCUGGCACAUGGAGGUUCCCAGGCUAGGGGUCCAAUUGGAGCUGUAGCUGCCAGCCUACACCACAGCCACAGCAAUGCGAGAUCUGAGCUGUGUCUGCGACCCACACCACAGCUCACGGCAAUGCCAGAUCCUUAACCCACUGAGCAAGGCCAGAGAUCGAACCCGCAAUCUCAUGGGUCCUAGUCGGAUUCGUUAACCACUGAGCCACGAUGGGAACUCCAAGAGUCAUUGUUAACACAACUGUUUUCCUUUAAAACACUCUUCACUUUAGUAGAGGCAUAAGCUUAAUCCUUAAUUCUCUGUAUGUCUGAUGAAAGAACCUAUAGGUAACUUUCAAGGUCACAGUAAAGGAUGACAUGCUUAUGUACUUAUAUCCAAGUAAUUCAUCUCUACUGUAAAAGCACAUCAAGGCCGUGGAGGUAGGUAACUCACCAGAUGAUUCUUUACCCAUUUCUUCCAGGAAAUUAUCCUGUUUUUGUUGCAUCUCUGAAAUGGGCAGAAUGAUUUUUUCAACAAUAAAGCAUUUGCCUAAGCCUAAAGCUAAUGCCUUAUGAAGGUGUUUUGGUUACUAUCUGGCCCAUGUGUGGCCAAGAAACAAUUGAGGACGUAGAGCUGAAAGUGAGUCUGGGUGGGAGUGGGAGCUCGCCAUGUUAUAUACUUCCUGACAAAUCCUUGAUACUAGAGAACUUCACACUUAGCAGUUUUGCAGGGGAGGGGAAAGUCAUUCUUGAAAAUAUGAUACAGGAAAUCUUCAGCUUACAUGUUUCCCAAAGUUCAAUAGUAAAUCUAUUAUUUAGAAUGUAGAAAAAGACUCAAAGAAACAAUUCAGCAACACAUCUGAACCACAACUAUUCACCGAGCCCCUAAUUAUGAGCAAAGUACAUUUAAGAUGACGUUCACAAUCUCAAUCUAAUUCACAAAAAACUUGUUUCACCCUCCAGUACAGGUGAAAGCCUAUAUUUGCCAUGAAAAAUAGCAUAUAACAACAUACUGUGAUAAUCUUUCAUACAAAAUUACCUACUUUUUCAAGGGAAUUGUGCAAGGUGGGGGUGGGGGCUCCAAAGACGAACCAAAAACUUGUCAUUAAAGAGUUAACAACUACAGCUGCAUUCAUGUUACUACAGACGUGUUGUUGAGCCCUCGAAAUGGGGUUGGUCUGUUGGGAGAAGGAGGUAUGGGGAUGACACACCAAGUUUGAAAAACUCAAUAUGAAAUAAAGAAUGUUAAGAGCUGUCAUUAAUAACUUUUGAUAAUGAUUACAUGUUGAAAUGGUAGUAGAUACCUGGAUUAAACAAAAUACAUCAUUAAAAUUAACGUAGGGAGCUCCCUUCAUGGCUCAGUGGAAACAAAUCUGUCUAGUAUCCAUGAAGACAUAGGUUUGAUCCUUGGCCUCGCUCAGUGGGUUAAGGAUCUGGCAUUGCCAUGAGCUGUGGUAUAGGUUGCAGAUGCAGCUCGAAUCUGGUGUUACUGUGACUAUGGCUUAGGCUGGUGGCUACAGUUCUGAUUCAACCCCUAGCCUGGGAACUUCCAUAUGCUGUGGGUGCGGCCAUAAAAAGACAAAAGCAAAUUAGUUUAGCCUGUUUCUUUCUAGCUUUUUAAUUUGAAAUUAUAUGUAUGACAUGUGUUAUACUUCAGUUGGAAUUGCUAAUCUACAAAAUUAUAGUUACUAUGUACUCAGUGUUUAUACUAUAUGCCACGUAAUUUUUAUACCAAAAAUAUGUGCACUUCCAUGAGAGGGAUUAUAGAUGAGGAAGCUGAGGGGUCUAAAGCUAUAUUAAUUAAUUAUUCAAUGCAUAUCUAGUGUAUGUGCACCAAGGGCUGUCAUGGGCAGUGGAGGUACAACAAAGUCCCUACUCUCAUAGAACUUUCGUUCUCGUGGGAGUAAAAGGUAAUAAAUAAGUAUCAAAAAUUUGCCAGGCAGUGAGAGGGAGGAGAGAUGAGGCUGUAAAAGAUGGAGUGCCUAUAAAACUGGGUGAGGUGGUGUGGGCUAUUUUUCAGAUAACAAGGUCUGAGCAGCUGUUAUCAAAGCAGAAACAUGAAGUGAUGAAGUGAGUCCUGUGAACAUCGACCUGGCCAGGAGCUUCUGGGCAGAAGAAGCAAGAACCACAGUGUGUGUGCAUGCCCAUUCAUGCUUUACACUCUGGAGGAGCAGCAGGAGAAUCAGUGGUGCUAGAGAGCAGUGAAGAAGAAGCAGAAGGAGAACAAAUCAGGAGCCAGUUCAUGCAGUGACUUGGAAGCCACCACACCUAGAACACGUUCAAGGAGGGCUCUGGCUGCUCUGUGACACAUGGGCUGUUGCGGCGCCCAUGUGGAACCCAGCAAGAGUGGAAGCCAGAGACCAGUUAGGAGACUACUGCAGUAGUGCAAGAGAGAUCUUAUGAGGUCUGCCCAACUCAGCCACUGGAGAUUUGCUGUUCCUGCAAUACAAAGUAAAAUAAUCUAAAAAUUAUCCAGAGAAUUUGAACAGCAGAGGUCAAAUAUCUGGAUAAUUCAAGUCUCCAAAUAUAUUUGAGAGUCUAUGGUUAUCUGAACUGGCAGUCAAAAAUCACUGUCAAACUUCAUAGGGUAGUAAUUUAUCUCUGUCCCUUGCUUUCUACCAAUUUAACCAAAGGGAAAUGGACUUGAGAUCUGUAAUUGGCAGAGUGGGCUUGUAGGACCUUUAAGUUAGAUUCAGAUCAAGCAAAUCAGCUUUAUUUUUGCCAAAGAAAACUGUUCAUUGACCUAGAUGACAAUUUUGUAGCCCAAACUAUUUACAUUGGUUCUGCCUACCUUCUGAAUUAUUCCCAUAAUUAAUAAUUCGGAAUUAAAGUUAAGCAUAGCUGCACACAAGAGACAGAGUUAAGGAAAGAACCAGAAGCUGUGUUUUGGAUAAAUAUAUCACUUAGUCUAGAUAACUCCACUCAAUGAGUCUGUUUUUAUGGACAGAAGCACUCAAAAUAAAGAAAAGCAUCCUCAAGAUCAAAUGUUACAUAGGCCAAUCCUUCCUCCUCUGAGAGGUAAAUGAAGGCUUAAAGUAGGUACCCAGUUUCAAAUGAAAACAAAUAAAAAUCAAUCACAAGUAUCCUCAAAAGUCAUGUCUUGAUAAAAAGGAUGCUCAAUCCUGACCCUCCAGGUUGAUUUAUUUACUGUGAUGGAACUCAGUGGAAAAUUGUUCAACUCCAUGCUUUACUAUGCCUGUGUAGAUGUGUUUUCUGGGCAUUGGAUGUAGUUCAUGUCAGUCAGGCACUUUCCUGGAGCACUAAAAUGUACAGAUUAUACACAUCAAAGGCAGGCUGCAACGACUGUAGCUGAAAUUUACACAAAUCUGUGCUGCGCGUAACUGGAUAAACAAUGAGACUAAUGACCUUGUUCUGCAUUAAUCUCCAUAUGGCUCUGUUGGUACUGCUCUUGCCUCCAGGCAAGAAGGUUGUGGCUUUGGCUUCUAGCCUCAAACCAAGGAUUAGGCGCUGGCCCAAUGCUGACAGAGACCAGAGCCCUGCUCCUACAGCCCAGGGAGCCUGGGAGGACCACAGAGGUCGUCCAUCUUAAGAGGUACAUGUACCACAAUUCAAGAAACACCCCUAUUACCAGACUCAAUGAGGAAACGGAUUUAUAAAAAUCAGAGAAUCUUUUAGCCAUGCCCCCUUCCCCUUCAGAGAAUUUAUCUUCUUCAAGAGGGCCCCAGGUUUUCCUUGAGGAUUUUCAGGGCCUCCCCUCUGCCUUCUCCCCAAAUAAGACAGAACCCUCAGCAUCUUGGCCCAUGUCACUCUUCCAGUCAAGAAUAAAUUUCAAAAUGGCUGCAUCUAGAGAGUUCCUGUUGCGGCUCAGCAGUUUAAGAAUCCAAGUAUCCAUAAGGAUGCCAGUUCGAUCCCUGGCCUGGAUCAGUGGGUUAAGGAGCCAGCAUUGUGAUGAGCUGCAGUAUAGGCCAUAGACCUGUAGCUUCAAUUUUACCCCUAGCCUGGGAACUUCCAUAUGCUGCAGGUUUUCUGACUCUGCAUUACACUAUUGCUAAAGCUGUCUCUUUAUACUGGUUAUUUCUGAAACAACAGAAUACUGAUCAAGCAGUAUAUUUAAGAAAAGACCUGAGAGGUUUUGUUUUUUGUUUGUCUGUUUGUUUGCCAUAAAGACAGAAACUUUCUGGCUAGUCAGCGUGUCAGAAGAUUUUUCCAAAGUCUAUCAAGAGGAGGAUUUCAAAUCAUAGAGACCAACUGUGAUAGUGAGUGCUUUGGUAAAAAUAAUCUUAACAUUGGUUCUCCAGACUGCCAUGGAAGGAAAAUUAAGUGGCACACUGUACUGGUGUGUAGAAAAAGAAGCACUUUGCACAACCAACGUAUGCACACGUCUCCUGUCAACGUUCUCUUUCUAAAUGUGGCCGCAGAAGAAAGUGUGAAGCAUACUGAAAUGAGACAGUAUUUAUAGCUGAAGAAAUUCGACUUCACAUAAUGGUAAUUACGAACAAGAUAUUUUCCCUAAUAAAAUUACUGCAAAACCAAAUCUGGAGAAACUGUUUCCCUCUGUGCUCUUUAUUUCACUCCAUGUGCUUAAGAACGGUUGCGAGAAAGAGUAUAGGGAGCAAAGGGAGAAAGAGAGGCAGAGGGAGACAGCCUCUGCUGAGGGUUGGUUUUGCUUUAGAAACUGGAAUGUGUCCAGGCUUGAUUUUUAUUUUCAAUUCACAUUUCAGAUCCAGCUCCCCAAACUCUUUGAUCUUUCUCCCUGUCUCCUUACCCGGAAGAGAACCCUUGGCCUUCUCAGCUGGGAGCUGGGAGCACACGUGGAAAGACUGGCUCGGAUCCAUAUUCUUGCCAAAUUUAGUCACACAAAGGGGC